rnacentral:rRNA from 1 species
ACAAUGAAGAGUUUGAUCCUGGCUCAGGAUGAACGCUAGCUACAGGCUUAACACAUGCAAGUCGAGGGGCAUCAGGAAGAAAGCUUGCUUUCUUUGCUGGCGACCGGCGCACGGGUGAGUAACACGUAUCCAACCUGCCCUUUACUCGGGGAUAGCCUUUCGAAAGAAAGAUUAAUACCCGAUGGCAUAAUGAUUCCGCAUGGUUUCAUUAUUAAAGGAUUCCGGUAAAGGAUGGGGAUGCGUUCCAUUAGGUUGUUGGUGAGGUAACGGCCCACCAAGCCUUCGAUGGAUAGGGGUUCUGAGAGGAAGGUCCCCCACAUUGGAACUGAGACACGGUCCAAACUCCUACGGGAGGCAGCAGUGAGGAAUAUUGGUCAAUGGGCGGUAGCCUGAACCAGCCAAGUAGCGUGAAGGAUGAAGGCUCUAUGGGUCGUAAACUUCUUUUAUAUAAGAAUAAAGUGCAGUAUGUAUACUGUUUUGUAUGUAUUAUAUGAAUAAGGAUCGGCUAACUCCGUGCCAGCAGCCGCGGUAAUACGGAGGAUCCGAGCGUUAUCCGGAUUUAUUGGGUUUAAAGGGAGCGUAGGUGGACUGGUAAGUCAGUUGUGAAAGUUUGCGGCUCAACCGUAAAAUUGCAGUUGAUACUGUCAGUCUUGAGUACAGUAGAGGUGGGCGGAAUUCGUGGUGUAGCGGUGAAAUGCUUAGAUAUCACGAAGAACUCCGAUUGCGAAGGCAGCUCACUGGACUGCAACUGACACUGAUGCUCGAAAGUGUGGGUAUCAAACAGGAUUAGAUACCCUGGUAGUCCACACAGUAAACGAUGAAUACUCGCUGUUUGCGAUAUACAGUAAGCGGCCAAGCGAAAGCAUUAAGUAUUCCACCUGGGGAGUACGCCGGCAACGGUGAAACUCAAAGGAAUUGACGGGGGCCCGCACAAGCGGAGGAACAUGUGGUUUAAUUCGAUGAUACGCGAGGAACCUUACCCGGGCUUAAAUUGCAGUGGAAUGAUGUGGAAACAUGUCAGUGAGCAAUCACCGCUGUGAAGGUGCUGCAUGGUUGUCGUCAGCUCGUGCCGUGAGGUGUCGGCUUAAGUGCCAUAACGAGCGCAACCCUUAUCUUUAGUUACUAACAGGUUAUGCUGAGGACUCUAGAGAGACUGCCGUCGUAAGAUGUGAGGAAGGUGGGGAUGACGUCAAAUCAGCACGGCCCUUACGUCCGGGGCUACACACGUGUUACAAUGGGGGGUACAGAAGGCAGCUAGCGGGUGACCGUAUGCUAAUCCCAAAAUCCUCUCUCAGUUCGGAUCGAAGUCUGCAACCCGACUUCGUGAAGCUGGAUUCGCUAGUAAUCGCGCAUCAGCCACGGCGCGGUGAAUACGUUCCCGGGCCUUGUACACACCGCCCGUCAAGCCAUGGGAGCCGGGGGUACCUGAAGUACGUAACCGCAAGGAUCGUCCUAGGGUAAAACUGGUGACUGGGGCUAAGUCGUAACAAGGUAGCCGUACCGGAAGGUGCGGCUGGAACACCUCCUUU